AACGAACGCUGGCGGCAGGCUUAACACAUGCAAGUCGAGCGAGAAGUGUAGCAAUACACGGAAAGCGGCGGAAGGGAGAGUAAUACGUGGGAAUCUGCCCUUAGACCUGGGAUAGCAGCGGGAAACUGCUGGUAAUACCAGAUAAUGUCUAUGGACCAAAGGUGUGAUUCCGUCUAGGGAUGAGCCCACGUCCUAUUAGCUAGUUGGUAGGGUAAUGGCCUACCAAGGCGAUGAUGGGUAGCGGGUGUGAGAGCAUGACCCGCCUCACUGGGACUGAGACACUGCCCAGACACCUACGGGUGGCUGCAGUCGAGAAUCUUCGGCAAUGGGCGCAAGCCUGACCGGGCGAUGCCGCGUGCGGGAUGAAGGCCUUCGGGUUGUAAACCGCUGUCGAGGGGGAGCAACUUCCAUAGAGUUAUCUUUAUGGAUUGAGUGAUCCCUGGAGGAAGGACGGGCUAAGUUCGUGCCAGCCGCCGCAGUAAGAC
rnacentral:rRNA from 1 species